GGAAUCCUUUGUGUGGGGGUGUUAGUUGGCCCUGAUUGUUUCAUGCCUGGAAUUCCUGUUUUCUGAGUGUUGUUCUUUAUUUACUGUUCUGAUUUUAGAGUGUUUUUUUAAAAAUACUGGUAAACAGAUUUUGUUCAUUUUCAUGGUUUUCUGUUGAAAUUGCCCUCAUGCUUGAGGAUUUCAGAUUUUGGCGUGACAUUAGGAGAGAAUGCUUCUGGAAUAUGGCCAUACAGCCCAGAAAACGCACAGUGAUUCCAGCCAUGAAACUAUGUAGAGGCAGGAUACUUACUACUGUAUCUACUUGGAGCCAUGUUUGGUUGGAAUGACUUCAGUGCCUCGAAAAGACGGACACUUCAGAAGGAGGUAAGAUUAUAAACCGGUUUGUUCGUAAAUUCAUUUUG
rnacentral:lncRNA from 11 species